CAGAUCCGAUGUAACUGGCGACGGAAGUGGGGAACCACGGUGGAGCAUCGGAGAAUACGGCCGGUCGCCUGGGCAGAAGAG
rfam:Paenibacillus alvei DSM 29 PAV_2c, whole genome shotgun sequence.